GCUUAUCAAUUGGAAGAUACAGUAUAUUUUGUAAGAUAGUCUCAUCAAUCCCAAUAAUACUCUUCUAGACAAUACUCAAAUCAUCCUUUGGGUCAUAAUUUGCUAUAUACUCUUCCACCAAUUCUACAUCAAUUAGUGGCAAGUUAUCUGAUCUUCGCAAAAAUUAAUAUAACUAUGUAUUUUAAAAAUCUCUUUGCCUUUUUAGUGACCAAUAAAUUUCUAACUUCAUUUAUUCCAUAUUGAUAAGAACCAUUGGGGACGAUGAUUCCAAAUUACUCUUAGCUCUCACAUUUUAGUAACUUUCUUCUUUGUCCAUAGCUCUCUUCACUCUUUCUAUCAAGAUUGUGGAAUACUUGCUUCUCACUUUUUUCUUGUACUAAUAUUACUUU
rnacentral:lncRNA from 1 species